GAUGAACGCUGGCGGCGUGCUUAACACAUGCAAGUCGAACGGGAAAUAUUUCAUUGAGCCUUCGGUGGAUUUGAUUUAUGUCUAUUGGCGGACGGGUGAUUAACGCGUGGGUAGCCUGCCGUAUACAGGGGGAUAACAGUCAGAAAUGCCUGCUAAUACCGCAUAAGCGCACAGAUCUGCAUUGCCCCGUGUGAAAAACUCCGGUGGGAUAAGAUGGACCCGCGUUGGAUUAGCCAGUUGGUGGGGUAACGGCGCACCAAGGCGACGAUCCAUAGCCGGGCUGAGAGGGUGAGCGGCCACAUUGGGACUGAGACACGGCCCAGACUCCUACGGGAGGCAGCAGUGGGGAAUAUUGCACAAUGGGGGAAGCGCUGAUGCAGCGACGCCGCGUGAAGGAAGAAGUAUCUCGGUAUGUAAACUUCUAUCAGCAGGGAAGAUAGUGACGUUACCUGACGAAGAAGCCCCGGCUAACUACGUG
rnacentral:rRNA from 1 species